rnacentral:rRNA from 1 species
CCCUUAGAUGUUCUGGGCCGCACGCGCGCUACACUGAUGCAUUCAACGAGCCUAGCCUUGACCGAGAGGUCCGGGUAGUCUUUGAAACUGCAUCGUGAUGGGGCUAGAUUAUUGCAAUUAUUAAUCUUCAACGAGGAAUGCCUAGUAAGCGUGAUUCAUCAAAUCGCGUUGAUUACGUCCCUGCCCUUUGUACACACCGCCCGUCGCUCCUACCGAUUGAGUGUGUUGGUGAGGAGUUUGGAUUGGCCUCGGAAGGUGGUUCGCCACCGUCCGUAGCUGAGAAGUUCUCCAAACCGCCCCACUUAGAGGAAGGAGAAGUCGUAACA